rnacentral:rRNA from 1 species
GACGAACGCUGGCGGCGCGCCUAACACAUGCAAGUCGAACGAGCGAGAGAGAGAUUGCUUUCUCGAGCGAGUGGCGAACGGGUGAGUAACGCGUGAGGAACCUGCCUCAAAGAGGGGGACAACAGUUGGAAACGACUGCUAAUACCGCAUAAGCCCACGGCUCGGCAUCGAGCAGGGGGAAAAGGAGCAAUCCGCUUUGAGAUGGCCUCGCGUCCGAUUAGCUAGUUGGUGAGGUAACGGCCCACCAAGGCGACGAUCGGUAGCCGGACUGAGAGGUUGAACGGCCACAUUGGGACUGAGACACGGCCCAGACUCCUACGGGAGGCAGCAGUGGGGGAUAUUGCACAAUGGGGGAAACCCUGAUGCAGCGACGCCGCGUGGAGGAAGAAGGUCUUCGGAUUGUAAACUCCUGUUGUUGGGGAAGAUAAUGACGGUACCCAACAAGGAAGUGACGGCUAACUACGUG